rnacentral:rRNA from 1 species
CAUAUCAAUAAGCGGAGGAAAAGAAACCAACCGGGAUUGCCUCAGUAACGGCGAGUGAAGCGGCAAGAGCUCAAAUUUGAAAGCUGGCUCCUUCGGAGUCCGCAUUGUAAUUUGCAGAGGAUGCUUUGGGUGCGGCCCCCGUCUAAGUGCCCUGGAACGGGCCGUCAGAGAGGGUGAGAAUCCCGUCUUGGGCGGGGUGUCCGUGCCCGUGUAAAGCUCCUUCGACGAGUCGAGUUGUUUGGGAAUGCAGCUCUAAAUGGGUGGUAAAUUUCAUCUAAAGCUAAAUACUGGCCGGAGACCGAUAGCGCACAAGUAGAGUGAUCGAAAGAUGAAAAGCACUUUGAAAAGAGAGUUAAACAGCACGUGAAAUUGUUGAAAGGGAAGCGCUUGCGACCAGACUCGCCCGCGGGGUUCAGCCGGCAUUCGUGCCGGUGUACUUCCCCGUGGGCGGGCCAGCGUCGGUUUGGGCGGCCGGUCAAAGGCCCCUGGAAUGUAGUGCCCUCCGGGGCACCUUAUAGCCAGGGGUGCAAUGCGGCCAGCCUGGACCGAGGAACGCGCUUCGGCACGGACGCUGGCAUAAUGGUCGUAAACGAC